GACGAACGCUGGCGGCGUGCCUAAUACAUGCAAGUUGAGCGCUGAAGGUUGGUACUUGUACCGACUGGAUGAGCAGCGAACGGGUGAGUAACGCGUGGGUAAUCUGCCUUUGAGCGGGGGACAACAUUUGGAAACGAAUGCUAAUACCGCAUAAAAACUUUAAACACAAGUUUUAAGUUUGAAAGAUGCAAUUGCAUCACUCAAAGAUGAUCCCGCGUUGUAUUAGCUAGUUGGUGAGGUAAAGGCUCACCAAGGCGAUGAUACAUAGCCGACCUGAGAGGGUGAUCGGCCACAUUGGGACUGAGAAACGGCACAAACUCCUACGGGAGGCAGCAGUAGGGAAUCUUCGGCAAUGGACGAAAGGCUGACCGAGCAACGACGCGUGAGUGAAGAAGGUUUUCGGAUCGUAAAACUCUGUUGGUAGAGAAGAAAGUUGGUGAGAGUGGAAAGCUCAUGAAGUGACGGUAACUACACAGAAAGGGACGGCUAACUACGUG
rnacentral:rRNA from 1 species